rnacentral:rRNA from 1 species
AGUGAACGCUGGCGGUAGGCCUAACACAUGCAAGUCGAACGGCAGCACAGUAAGAGCUUGCUCUUACGGGUGGCGAGUGGCGGACGGGUGAGGAAUACAUCGGAAUCUACUUUUUCGUGGGGGAUAACGUAGGGAAACUUACGCUAAUACCGCAUACGACCUACGGGUGAAAACAGGGGAUCUUCGGACCUUGCGCGAUUGAAUGAGCCGAUGUCGGAUUAGCUAGUUGGCGGGGUAAAGGCCCACCAAGGCGACGAUCCGUAGCUGGUCUGAGAGGAUGAUCAGCCACACUGGAACUGAGACACGGUCCAGACUCCUACGGGAGGCAGCAGUGGGGAAUAUUGGACAAUGGGCGCAAGCCUGAUCCAGCCAUACCGCGUGGGUGAAGAAGGCCUUCGGGUUGUAAAGCCCUUUUGUUGGGAAAGAAAAGCAGCAGGUUAAUACCCCGCUGUUCUGACGGUACCCAAAGAACAAGCACCGGCUAACUUCGUG